rnacentral:rRNA from 1 species
GACGAACGCUGGCGGCGUGCUUAACACAUGCAAGUCGAACGGAAAGGCCCUGCUUUUGUGGGGUGCUCGAGUGGCGAACGGGUGAGAAACACGUGAGUAACCUGCCCUUGACUUUGGGAUAACUUCAGGAAACUGGGGCUAAUACCGGAUAGGAGCUCCUGCUGCAUGGUGGGGGUUGGAAAGUUUCGGCGGUUGGGGAUGGACUCGCGGCUUAUCAGCUUGUUGGUGGGGUAGUGGCUUACCAAGGCUUUGACGGGUAGCCGGCCUGAGAGGGUGACCGGCCAAAUUGGGACUGAGAUACGGCCCAGACUCCUACGGGAGGCAGCAGUGGGGAAUAUUGCACAAUGGGCGGAAGCCUGAUGCAGCAACGCCGCGUGCGGGAUGACGGCCUUCGGGUUGUAAACCGCUUUCGCCUGUGACGAAGCGUGAGUGACGGUAAUGGGUAAAGAAGCACCGGCUAACUACGUG